rnacentral:rRNA from 1 species
UAUCUACGCCGUAAACGAUGGUUACUAGCUGUUUGGAAUUUAUUCUGAGUGGCUAAGCGAAAGUGAUAAGUAACCCGCCUGGGGAGUACGUUCGCAAGAAUGAAACUCAAAGGAAUUGACGGGGGCCCGCACAAGCGGUGGAGCAUGUGGUUUAAUUCGAUGAUACGCGAGGAACCUUACCAGGGCUUAAAUGUAGUAUGACAGGUUUAGAGAUAGACUUUUCUUCGGACAUAUUACAAGGUGCUGCAUGGUUGUCGUCAGCUCGUGCCGUGAGGUGUCAGGUUAAGUCCUAUAACGAGCGCAACCCCUGUGGUUAGUUGCCAGCGAGUCAUGUCGGGAACUCUAGCCAGACUGCCGGUGCAAACCGUGAGGAAGGUGGGGAUGACGUCAAAUCAUCACGGCCCUUACGUCCUGGGCCACACACGUGCUACAAUGGUAGGUACAGAGAGCAGCCACUACGCGAGUAGGAGCGAAUCUAUAAAACCUAUCUCAGUUUGGAUCGGAGU